rnacentral:rRNA from 1 species
GACGAGCGCUGGCGGCAGGCUUAACACAUGCAAGUCGAACGCCCCGCAAGGGGAGUGGCAGACGGGUGAGUAACACGUGGGAACGUACCCUUUGGUUCGGAAUAACUUGGGGAAACUCAAGCUAAUACCGGAUAAGCCCUUAUGGGGAAAGGUUUACUGCCGAAGGAUCGGCCCGCGUCUGAUUAGCUAGUUGGUGAGGUAAUGGCUCACCAAGGCGACGAUCAGUAGCUGGUCUGAGAGGAUGAUCAGCCACACUGGGACUGAGACACGGCCCAGACUCCUACGGGAGGCAGCAGUGGGGAAUAUUGGACAAUGGGGGCAACCCUGAUCCAGCCAUGCCGCGUGAGUGAUGAAGGCCUUAGGGUUGUAAAGCUCUUUUACCCGGGACGAUAAUGACUGUACCGGGAGAAUAAGCCCCGGCUAACUUCGUGCCAGCAGCCGCCGUAA